rnacentral:rRNA from 1 species
GACGAACGCUGGCGGCGCGCCUAACACAUGCAAGUCGAACGAGCGAGAGAGAGCUUGCUUUCUCGAGCGAGUGGCGAACGGGUGAGUAACGCGUGAGGAACCUGCCUCAAAGAGGGGGACAACAGUUGGAAACGACUGCUAAUACCGCAUAAGCCCACGGGUCGGCAUCGACCAGAGGGAAAAGGAGCAAUCCGCUUUGAGAUGGCCUCGCGUCCGAUUAGCUAGUUGGUGAGGUAAUGGCCCACCAAGGCGACGAUCGGUAGCCGGACUGAGAGGUUGAACGGCCACAUUGGGACUGAGACACGGCCCAGACUCCUACGGGAGGCAGCAGUGGGGAAUAUUGCACAAUGGGGGAAACCCUGAUGCAGCGACGCCGCGUGGAGGAAGAAGGUCUUCGGAUUGUAAACUCCUGUUGUUGGGGAAGAUAAUGACGGUACCCAACAAGGAAGUGACGGCUAACUACGUG